rnacentral:rRNA from 1 species
GGGUUGUGAGGUUAAGCGACUAAGCGUACACGGUGGAUGCCCUGGCAGUCAGAGGCGAUGAAGGACGUGCUAAUCUGCGAUAAGCGUCGGUAAGGUGAUAUGAACCGUUAUAACCGGCGAUUUCCGAAUGGGGAAACCCAGUGUGAUUCGUCACACUAUCAUUAACUGAAUCCAUAGGUUAAUGAGGCGAACCGGGGGAACUGAAACAUCUAAGUACCCCGAGGAAAAGAAAUCAACCGAGAUUCCCCCAGUAGCGGCGAGCGAACGGGGAGCAGCCCAGAGCCUGAAUCAGUGUGUGUGUUAGUGGAAGCGUCUGGAAAGGCGCGCGAUACAGGGUGACAGCCCCGUACACAAAAAUGCACAUACUGUGAGCUCGAUGAGUAGGGCGGGACACGUGGUAUCCUGUCUGAAUAUGGGGGGACCAUCCUCCAAGGCUAAAUACUCCUGACUGACCGAUAGUGAACCAGUACCGUGAGGGAAAGGCGAAAAGAACCCCGGCGAGGGGAGUGAAAAAGAACCUGAAACCGUGUACGUACAAGCAGUGGGAGCACGCUUCGGCGUGUGACUGCGUACCUUUUGUAUAAUGGGUCAGCGACUUAUAUUCUGUAGCAAGGUUAACCGAAUAGGGGAGCCGAAGGGAAACCGAGUCUUAACUGGGCGUUAAGUUGCAGGGUAUAGACCCGAAACCCGGUGAUCUAGCCAUGGGCAGGUUGAAGGUUGGGUAACACUAACUGGAGGACCGAACCGACUAAUGUUGAAAAAUUAGCGGAUGACUUGUGGCUGGGGGUGAAAGGCCAAUCAAACCGGGAGAUAGCUGGUUCUCCCCGAAAGCUAUUUAGGUAGCGCCUCGUGAAUUCAUCUCCGGGGGUAGAGCACUGUUUCGGCAAGGGGGUCAUCCCGACUUACCAACCCGAUGCAAACUGCGAAUACCGGAGAAUGUUAUCACGGGAGACACACGGCGGGUGCUAACGUCCGUCGUGAAGAGGGAAACAACCCAGACCGCCAGCUAAGGUCCCAAAGUCAUGGUUAAGUGGGAAACGAUGUGGGAAGGCCCAGACAGCCAGGAUGUUGGCUUAGAAGCAGCCAUCAUUUAAAGAAAGCGUAAUAGCUCACUGGUCGAGUCGGCCUGCGCGGAAGAUGUAACGGGGCUAAACCAUGCACCGAAGCUGCGGCAGCGACACUAUGUGUUGUUGGGUAGGGGAGCGUUCUGUAAGCCUGUGAAGGUGUGCUGUGAGGCAUGCUGGAGGUAUCAGAAGUGCGAAUGCUGACAUAAGUAACGAUAAAGCGGGUGAAAAGCCCGCUCGCCGGAAGACCAAGGGUUCCUGUCCAACGUUAAUCGGGGCAGGGUGAGUCGACCCCUAAGGCGAGGCCGAAAGGCGUAGUCGAUGGGAAACAGGUUAAUAUUCCUGUACUUGGUGUUACUGCGAAGGGGGGACGGAGAAGGCUAUGUUGGCCGGGCGACGGUUGUCCCGGUUUAAGCGUGUAGGCUGGUUUUCCAGGCAAAUCCGGAAAACUAAGGCUGAGGCGUGAUGACGAGGCACUACGGUGCUGAAGCAACAAAUGCCCUGCUUCCAGGAAAAGCCUCUAAGCAUCAGGUAACAUCAAAUCGUACCCCAAACCGACACAGGUGGUCAGGUAGAGAAUACCAAGGCGCUUGAGAGAACUCGGGUGAAGGAACUAGGCAAAAUGGUGCCGUAACUUCGGGAGAAGGCACGCUGAUAUGUAGGUGAAGCGACUUGCUCGUGGAGCUGAAAUCAGUCGAAGAUACCAGCUGGCUGCAACUGUUUAUUAAAAACACAGCACUGUGCAAACACGAAAGUGGACGUAUACGGUGUGACGCCUGCCCGGUGCCGGAAGGUUAAUUGAUGGGGUUAGCGGUAACGCGAAGCUCUUGAUCGAAGCCCCGGUAAACGGCGGCCGUAACUAUAACGGUCCUAAGGUAGCGAAAUUCCUUGUCGGGUAAGUUCCGACCUGCACGAAUGGCGUAAUGAUGGCCAGGCUGUCUCCACCCGAGACUCAGUGAAAUUGAACUCGCUGUGAAGAUGCAGUGUACCCGCGGCAAGACGGAAAGACCCCGUGAACCUUUACUAUAGCUUGACACUGAACAUUGAGCCUUGAUGUGUAGGAUAGGUGGGAGGCUUUGAAGUGUGGACGCCAGUCUGCAUGGAGCCGACCUUGAAAUACCACCCUUUAAUGUUUGAUGUUCUAACGUUGACCCGUGAUCCGGGUUGCGGACAGUGUCUGGUGGGUAGUUUGACUGGGGCGGUCUCCUCCUAAAGAGUAACGGAGGAGCACGAAGGUUGGCUAAUCCUGGUCGGACAUCAGGAGGUUAGUGCAAUGGCAUAAGCCAGCUUGACUGCGAGCGUGACGGCGCGAGCAGGUGCGAAAGCAGGUCAUAGUGAUCCGGUGGUUCUGAAUGGAAGGGCCAUCGCUCAACGGAUAAAAGGUACUCCGGGGAUAACAGGCUGAUACCGCCCAAGAGUUCAUAUCGACGGCGGUGUUUGGCACCUCGAUGUCGGCUCAUCACAUCCUGGGGCUGAAGUAGGUCCCAAGGGUAUGGCUGUUCGCCAUUUAAAGUGGUACGCGAGCUGGGUUUAGAACGUCGUGAGACAGUUCGGUCCCUAUCUGCCGUGGGCGCUGGAGAACUGAGGGGGGCUGCUCCUAGUACGAGAGGACCGGAGUGGACGCAUCACUGGUGUUCGGGUUGUCAUGCCAAUGGCACUGCCCGGUAGCUAAAUGCGGAAGAGAUAAGUGCUGAAAGCAUCUAAGCACGAAACUUGCCCCGAGAUGAGUUCUCCCUGACUCCCUGAGAGUCCUGAAGGAACGUUGAAGACGACGACGUUGAUAGGCCGGGUGUGUAAGCGCAGCGAUGCGUUGAGCUAACCGGUACUAAUGAACCGUGAGGCUUAACCUUACAACGCCGAAGGUGUUU